CAAACGACUCUCGGCAACGGAUAUCUCGGCUCACGCAUCGAUGAAGAACGUAGCAAAAUGCGAUACUUGGUGUGAAUUGCAGAAUCCCGUGAACCAUCGAGUUUUUGAACGCAAGUUGCGCCCAAAGCCAUUUGGUUGAGGGCACGUCUGCCUGGGCGUCACACA
rnacentral:rRNA from 1 species